AACGCACAUUGCGCCCGCCAGUAUUCUGGCGGGCAUGCCUGUCCGAGCGUCAUUUCAACCCUCAGGCCCCUCCGGGGGCUUGGUGUUGGAGACCGGCGACCCGCUCCCCCCGGGGGGGCGGCGCCGCCUCCCAAAUCCAGUGGCGGUCUCGCCGCAGCCUUCCUUGCGCAGUAGCAUCUUAUUUCGCACGGGAGAGCGGCGCGGCCACGCCGUAAAACACCCCACUUACGAACGGUUGACCUCGGAUCAGGUAGGACUACCCGCUGAACUUAA
rnacentral:misc_RNA from 1 species